CCUACGGGAGACAGCAGUGAGGAAUAUUGGUCAAUGGACGAGAGUCUGAACCAGCCAAGUAGCGUGAAGGAUGACUGCCCUAUGGGUUGUAAACUUCUUUUAUAUGGGAAUAAAACGUUCCACGUGUGGGAUUUUGUAUGUACCAUAUGAAUAAGGAUCGGCUAACUCCGUGCCAGCAGCCGCGGUAAUACGGAGGAUCCGAGCGUUAUCCGGAUUUAUUGGGUUUAAAGGGAGCGUCGGUGGAUUGUUAAGUCAGUUGUGAAAGUUUGCGGCUCAACCGUAAAAUUGCAGUUGAAACUGGCAGUCUUGAGUACAGUAGAGGUGGGCGGAAUUCGUGGUGUAGCGGUGAAAUGCUUAGAUAUCACGAAGAACUCCGAUUGCGAAGGCAGUUCACUGGACUGCAACUGACACUGAGGCUCGAAAGUGUGGGUAUCAAACAGGAUUAGAUACCCCUGUAGUC
rnacentral:rRNA from 1 species